UCCGUAGGUGAACCUGCGGAAGGAUCAUUAUUGAAUUUGAUCUUCGGAUCUCAUACAUAAUAACACACUGUGAACCGUGGCUUCGGCCCAAACUUGAAGUCUAGAAUGUAAUAUAUCAUAACAAAAUACAACUUUUAACAACGGAUCUCUUGGCUCUCGCAUCGAUGAAGAACGCAGCGAAAUGCGAUAAGUAAUGUGAAUUGCAGAAUUCAGUGAAUCAUCGAAUCUUUGAACGCACCUUGCGCCCUCUGGUAUUCCGGAGGGCAUGCCUGUUUGAGUGUCAUGAACACCUCACCCCCUCGGGUUUCCGAUCGGGUGGAUUUGGGUGCUGCCAGUUACAUGGCUCGCCUUAAAAGCAUUAGCGGUUGUAGACUUAAUAAGUUUCGUCUUGUCGACCGCUUCUAAUCUCCUUCGGGAUGUCUUCGGACACUUCAUGAUCUGACCUCAAAUCAGGUAGGACUACCCGCUGAACUUAAGCAUAUCAAUAAGCGGAGGAAAAGAAACUAACAAGGAUUCCCUUAGUAACGGCGAGUGAACCGGGAAGAGCUCAAAUUUGUAAUCUGGCGUCCUUCGGGCGUCCGAGUUGUAAUCUAAAGAGGUGUUUUCCGCGCCGGACCAUGUUUAAGUCUCCUGGAACGGAGUAUCAAAGAGGGUGACAAUCCCGUGCUUGACAUGACGACCGGUGCUAUGUGAUACAUCCUCAACGAGUCGAGUUGUUUGGGAAUGCAGCUCUAAACGGGUGGUAAAUUCCAUCUAAGGCUAAAUAUUGGCGAGAGACCGAUAGCGAACAAGUACCGUGAGGGAAAGAUGAAAAGCACUUUGGAAAGAGAGUUAAACAGCACGUGAAAUUGUUAAAAGGGAAACGAUUGAAGUCAGUCGUGCACUUGGUAUUCAGCUGUCUCUGGCAGUGUAUUUGCCUUGUGCGGGUCAACAUCAGUUCUGAUCGACGGAAAAGGGCUGGAAGAAGGUGGCACCCUCGGGUGUGUUAUAGCUUCCUGUCGUAUACGUCGGUUGGGACUGAGGAAUGCAGCUUGCCGCAAGGCCGGGGUUCGCCCACGUUCAAGCUUAGGAUGUUGAC
rnacentral:sRNA from 2 species